ensembl:lincRNA
CAGGUUACUAUCUCAGUGGGAAAAGAGGCAUGAUGGGAAGAAGAAGGCUGUCCUUUAGUGGGAGAAGCCAUAUUUUGUGGUGAGAAGCAACGCCUUAUGGGAAGGGGAAGGCUAUUCUUUUUGUGUAGCUGCCAUCUUAAGUGACAGGUGUGGAUAUGUGUCAUCAGCAGUGGCAAAAGUAGAAAGCCCCAGGUUCUGGCUCAGCAGAUGUGGUCUGGAAGAGGCAGCUAAAAGGCCAAUUGACCCCAAUCCACAGGAAAUCAUCACUUAAUGGACCUCUUUCCUCCCAGGUCUCAGCACCAGAUAUGUCAGGUAAAAAAGAGCCAAAAACCAAGACCAGACCAGGACCACAACAAGCCUUUAUUAUGGGGAGGAUUUGCCAGGCUCUCUCUGAAUAAAGGAGAGAGAGAAAUAUGGCAAGACAGGGAACACUUCUUAUAGGACUGGGGUGGGGUUUAAAGGAGCUGGGGUGGGAUUGAGUGAUAUUGUGGCUGGGGAUUGGGGGAGCUUGUGACUUCACUAAGAGGGGCUUGUGUUAUCACUAGUCACCAGGAGGUAGCAAGUACUUUCUUGGGAAAAGAGACAUGAUGGGAAGAAGGCUGUCCUUUAGUGGGAGAAGCUAUAUUUUUAGAUGAGAAGCAGGGCAUUGUGGGAAAGGGAAGACUAUUCUUUUUAUGUAGCUGCCAUCUUAAGAAAAUCCUCAUGUUUGUUCAGAGCUGCAGCAGUGUCCGGAGCUGCCAUUUCAUUCUUGGGGGAUGAGAAAAGUUGUGCCUUCACACCCAGCUGCUGUGGGUCAAAUGUCACUUCCCUGGGUUAUUAGCCGAGCAAGAGUUGCUCCAAGUAUGGUUUACUUCAGCAGUUUUCAGUAAUUACUCACUUUGUUUCCUUCAGCCCCUUCUCUCAUCUCAAUGCUCUUAAGUCAUCCUCCUACAUUAAAAAACACACUGGAAGUGGGCCUCCCUCUCAGCUAAAUUCUACUCAGCAGGUCUACUGCUUAUCUCUGAGAUCAUCGUUCUGUGACAGCAGCUUGCCACUUUCCAUUCCGAAGAACUCUAACCAAGAUCCUUUAACCCGACUGCUACAUCUAACCCAUCAGACACAUCGAACUAAUGGGAUAGAAUUUGAAUGUACAGUUUUCCCAAGGAGAGCAUCUACACACUGUUAAACGAUCUGUUACUUUACUUAGUAUUUAUAGAAAGUUUCAAGAUGUAAAAUAAAAAACAAAAACAAGAUAGUCUUUGAGCAUAAACAACCACAGCACUAAUAGUGACAGUGUGACAGCAGCCCUGUGAUUCCUGGCUUCUUCCACACACAGACUGAAGCAGAAAGGGGUUGCAAAGAAAGUGCCUCACCUGUGUCAUGAGUCCCAUCAAAGUGCAGACCAAGUAGGCCUCACAGGCAGCUUGUUUCAUAAAGUGCAUGGUCUCCUAUAAAGGAUGUCAGGCAAAUUGAAUCACAUCUGGGAAAAAGAAUUAAAAUUGAAAUUAGCUUCUGACAUCCAAACUGAAUAUGAAAUAUGGUUGAGGCAACAACUUUGCUGAUUUCAAUUGCAUCUCAGUCACAGACAUCUUUGCUGAUAAUAUCUGAUCUGUUGCAGAUAACACUUGUCUCUACCCUACAAGAUCUUACUUUUGUGUCACUUUCCACUAAGACUGGAUAAACUUUUCAUGAGACAAUAAAUGCAGGGCUCCUUGGAUGCUGGAAAUAUUCCAGUCCAAGCCUGAGGACUCAGCUGUAUUAUUAAAAUGGUAUCCUAUUACAGUUUUCUCUAUACACUCAUUUCUUAAAGUUAAUCUUAUUUUAAUUAUUUAGUUAAUGUGUUGUUGAAGAUGGAAUCCAAGCCUCUUAUGCAUGGUAGGCAAACACUAGCCCACUGAACCACACCCA